rnacentral:sRNA from 1 species
AAUCGGAAAUCGACGAAGAAUAUAUUGCACUCAAAGACUUCGAACGAUGCUCUGCACUAAAGAUAAUAAAUCAAAUCACUAAGGGGAGUUAUGGCAAAGAAGUCUCAACUGGAGGUAAAAAAGAUAAGGUCAAGAAAAU